UACAGAGGGUGCGAGCGUUAAUCGGAAUUACUGGGCGUAAAGCGUGCGUAGACGGUUAUUUAAGUCGGAUGUGAAAGCCCCGGGCUCAACCUGGGAAUUGCAUUCGAGACUGAAUAGCUAGGGUGCGGUAGAGGGAAGCGGAAUUUCCGGUGUAGCGGUGAAAUGCGUAGAGAUGUGGAGGAACACCAGUGGCGAAGGCGACUCUUUGGCCUGUAACUGACGCUGAGGCGCGAAAGCGUGGGGAGCAAACAGG
rnacentral:rRNA from 1 species